rnacentral:rRNA from 1 species
AGUCGAACGGAGAUUACAGGCGGAAGUUUUCGGAUGGAAGCUUGUAAACUUAGUGGCGGACGGGUGAGUAACACGUGAGCAACCUGCCUAUCAGAGGGGGAUAACGAUUGGAAACGAUCGCUAAUACCGCAUGACAUAGCGGAACCGCAUGGUUUUGUUAUCAAAGAUUUUAUCGCUGAUAGAUGGGCUCGCGUCCGAUUAGAUAGUUGGUGGGGUAACGGCCUACCAAGUCGACGAUCGGUAGCCGGACUGAGAGGUCGAACGGCCACAUUGGGACUGAGACACGGCCCAGACUCCUACGGGAGGCAGCAGUGGGGGAUAUUGCACAAUGGGGGAAACCCUGAUGCAGCGACGCCGCGUGAGGGAAGACGGUCCUCUGGAUUGUAAACCUCUGUCUUCGGGGACGAAACGAGACGGUACCCGAGGAGGAAGCCACGGCUAACUACGUGCCAGCAGCCGCGGUAAUACGUAGGUGGCAAGCGUUGUCCGGAAUUACUGGGUGUAAAGGGAGCGUAGGCGGGCAGGCAAGUCAGGCGUGAAAUAUAUCGGCUCAACCGGUAACGGCGCUUGAAACUGCAGGUCUUGAGUGAAGUAGAGGUUGGCGGAAUUCCUAGUGUAGCGGUGAAAUGCGUAGAUAUUAGGAGGAACACCAGUGGCGAAGGCGGCCAACUGGGCUUUUACUGACGCUGAGGCUCGAAAGUGUGGGGAGCAA